GUCGCCUGGAGAUCCUGUCCGCCAGUUCCACGUCACAUUCGAGGACGACCUUACGAUUUUGGUAACAGAUAGAUGAGUCAUGGAUGCUUGGGGAGAUGCCGGCUGCCAGUCCUGGGUCCCGCGCCAUAUUCGCAAAUUGAUUUUGGUUCUGUUUCUCUUUACUUGCAUUUCGUAUUCGUUGGAUUUGGUGUCGUGAGAACUAUGGUUUGAUACGUGUUGUGUGGACUUGGUAUUUGUGAUAUUUUGAUGACUUUGCAAUU